rnacentral:misc_RNA from 1 species
CGUCGAAGGUGGGGCUGAUGACUGGGGUGAAGUCGUAACAAGGUAUCCGUACCGGAAGGUGCGGAUGGAUCACCUCCUAACAGGGAGACAAAACAAUGAUUUUGAUGUCUGAGUAUUUUAUUCUUAGGCCGAAAUCCUGUCACCUUAGGUCGAUCGGUACCUCAACAUUUUUCCAAAGAUUGGUGAGCAAUCAUCAAGAGAUUGGAAGGGAUGUUCAGUUCCUAAACUUUGUCUAGGUCACACCCCGCAAGGGAAGAGUCCCCUGGGCCAUUAGCUCAGGUGGUUAGAGCGCACCCCUGAUAAGGGUGAGGUCCCUGGUUCAAGUCCAGGAUGGCCCAUUCGGUGUUGGGGGUUUAGCUCAGUUGGUAGAGCGCCUGCUUUGCAAGCAGGAUGUCAGGAGUUCGAGUCUCCUAACCUCCACUGACAGAACUCAAUCUCCAUUGUCCGGUAACUCGGAGGAUGAACUCAAAGGUGUGUGACUUAGAUGUGUCCACUAGAUAGGACCCUAGCUUCCUGUCAUUCCGAACAAGUAAUUAUUGCUUGAUUGGCUGAUAUGAUGCUGGGCUCAGAUUAAUCGAAAGAUUAAUUUGAUCUCUAGUAGAACCUUGACAACUGCAUAAGUAAGUCUGGAAAAACGAAGCAUCUUACAGAUGCAUUGUUUUAAGUCUGAAUUCUCGAAAGGGAGUUUAGAUCUAGAAUGAUGAAAAUUCUUUUAAGCAAGAGCCGAGACUCUUAGAUGUUCUUUUUAUCGUGUCGAGCGAUAAAGAGUUUGAUUUUGUUUUUAUGAGCAGCGAAAGCUGCUGAUGAAACCAGAAGAAUCUGCUUUCAACCGCAGUAAGCGUUUAAGAGGUUAAUUGGUCAAGCUACAAAGGGCUCAC